rnacentral:rRNA from 1 species
CAUGCCGCGUGUAUGAAGAAGGCCUUCGGGUUGUAAAGUACUUUCAGCGGGGAGGAAGGUGUUGUGGUUAAUAACCACAGCAAUUGACGUUACCCGCAGAAGAAGCACCGGCUAACUCCGUGCCAGCAGCCGCGGUAAUAUA